rnacentral:rRNA from 1 species
CAGUAGCCGCGGGAAUACGUAGGUGGCAAGCGUUGUCCGGAUUUAUUGGGCGUAAAGCGAGCGCAGGCGGUUAGAUAAGUCUGAAGUUAAAGGCUGUGGCUUAACCAUAGUACGCUUUGGAAACUGUUUAACUUGAGUGCAGAAGGGGAGAGUGGAAUUCCAUGUGUAGCGGUGAAAUGCGUAGAUAUAUGGAGGAACACCAGUGGCGAAGGCGGCUUUUUGGCCUGUAACUGACACUGAGGCGCGAAAGCGUGGGGAGCAAACAGGAUUAGAUACCCCAGUAGUCCCUGUCUCUUAUACA